rnacentral:rRNA from 1 species
UGGGGAAUAUUGCACAAUGGGCGCAAGCCUGAUGCAGCCAUGCCGCGUGUGUGAAGAAGGCCUUCGGGUUGUAAAGCACUUUCAGCGGGGAGGAAGGCGUUAAGGUUAAUAACCUUGGCGAUUGACGUUACCCGCAGAAGAAGCACCGGCUAACUCCGUGCCAGCAGCCGCGGUAAUACGGAGGGUGCAAGCGUUAGUCGGAAUUACUGGGCGUAAAGCGCACGCAGGCGGUUUGUUAAGUCAGAUGUGAAAUCCCCGGGCUCAACCUGGGGACUGCAUCUGAUACUGGCAAGCUUGAGUCUCGUAGAGGGGGGUAGAAUUCCAGGUGUAGCGGUGAAAUGCGUAGAGAUCUGGAGGAAUACCGGUGGCGAAGGCGGCCCCCUGGACGAAGACUGACGCUCAGGUGCGAAAGCGUGGGGAGCAAAAAGG